CUUGGAAGCGUCCUUUGACCAGUUUUUCCACUGGAAUUACCUUAUCCACAUUCAUUCUUUUAAAUGAUGCUUGCAGAAGCUUGAAGUUGUGAAUGUAUUCAUGUUCCAGCUUUGCUUGGAACUUUACUUUCUUCAAGCUAAUACACCCAGGGAACAUCAUGUCCAUGAACUGGCAGUAAGCUGCUCCUGAACAGAGCUGUUCGACUUUUGUGUAGUUUAAAGCUAAUAUAUCAUUAACCCAUGCGAUGAUGUCAUGUCUGCUCAUAGUCUCUUGGGUGAUAGAGGUAGAGUACACGUUGACCGCCAUUCCCCAACUGUAGGAGCGCUCCCCCCGCACCGUGUGCUUCCUGAAGGGGAUGAUGGUGGUGCCGUUGUCCUGGAUGAUGUCGUUAUUGUUCUCGCCAUUUGGGGACAGGGCUUGGGUCGGUCCGGGCAUUGGCGCUCCCGCGGCUCCGCGCCUCCCCGCGCUGUGCUGCUGCUGCUGCUGCUGCUCUGCGGAAGGUGGUGCUGCCGCUGCCGCCGCCGCCGUCUCGCGCCGCCAGCCCCGCCCCGCCCC
rnacentral:lncRNA from 1 species